GACGAACGCUGGCGGCGUGCUUAACACAUGCAAGUCGAACGGAAAGGCCCUGCUAUUGUGGGGUGCUCGAGUGGCGAACGGGUGAGUAACACGUGAGUAACCUGCCCUUGACUUUGGGAUAACUUCAGGAAACUGGGGCUAAUAUCGGAUAGGAGCUCCUGCUGCAUGGUGGGGGUUGGAAAGUUUCGGCGGGUGGGGAUGGACGCGCGGCUUAUCAGCUUGUUGGUGGGGUAGUGGCUUACCAAGGCUUUGACGGGUAGCCGGCCUGAGAGGGUGACCGGCCACAUGGGGACUGAGAGACGGCCCAGACGCCUACGGGAGGCAGCAGUGGGGAAUAUUGCACAAUGGGCGGAAGCCUGAUGCAGCAACGCCGCGUGCGGGAUGACGGCCUUCGGGUUGUAAACCGCUUUCGCCUGUGACGAAGCGUGAGUGACGGUAAUGGGUAAAGAAGCACCGGCUAACUACGUG
rnacentral:rRNA from 1 species